GAGAAGAUUUAUUCAAGAAUUUUGUGUAAAAUGUCGGCGAGCGGCGGACGGCUGAGUAACGCGUGGGAACGUACCCCAAAGUGAGGGAUAACGCAUCGAAAGGUGUGCUAAUACCGCAUAUGGUCUUCGGAUUAAAGCCUUCGGGCGCUUUGGGAACGGCCUGCGUAAGAUUAGAUAGUUGGUGGGGUAAUGGCCUACCAAGUCGACGAUCUUUAACUGGUUUGAGAGGAUGAUCAGUCAGACUGGAACUGAGACACGGUCCAGACUCCUACGGGAGGCAGCAGUGAGGAAUCUUCCACAAUGGGCGAAAGCCUGAUGGAGCAACGCCGCGUGCAGGAUGAAGGCCUUCGGGUUGUAAACUGCUUUUAUAAGUGAGGAUUAUGACAGUAACUUAUGAAUAAGGAUCGGCUAACUACGUGCCAGCAGCCGCGGUCAUACGUAGGAUCCGAGCGUUAUCCGGAGUGACUGGGCGUAAAGAGUUGCGUAGGUGGUUCAAUAAGCGAAUAGUGAAAGCUGGUGGCUCAACCAUUCAGAUUAUUAUUCGAACUGUUGAACUCCAGAGCAGAAGAGGUAGCUGGAAUUUCUAGUGUAGGAGUGAAAUCCGUAGAUAUUAGAAGGAACACCGAUGGCGUAGGCAGGCUACUGGGCUGUUUCUGACACUGAGGCACGAAAGCGUGGGGAGCGAACCCGAUUAGAUACCCGGGUAGUCCACGCCGUAAACGAUGGAUACU
rnacentral:rRNA from 1 species